rnacentral:rRNA from 1 species
UACGUAGGUGACAAGCGUUGUCCGGAUUUACUGGGCGUAAAGAGCGCGCAGGCGGUCGAUCAAGUCGAGUGUGAAAGCCCCCGGCUCAACUGGGGAGGGUCAUUCGAUACUGAUCGACUCGAAGGCAGGAGAGGGUAGUGGAAUUCCCGGUGUAGUGGUGAAAUGCGCAGAUAUCAGGAAGAACACCCGUGGCGAAGGCGGUUCUCUGGAACGCAACUGACGCUGAGACGCGAAAGCGUGGGGAGCAAACAGG